GACUUGGGGUGGUUUCCAUGACACAGAUCAAGCCCUGGAAUGAAGUCUCAAUUGAGAAUAUUAAUCUGUGCCUGGGAAACUGUCCCUGAAAGUCCCCCUCACACCAUUAUUUUUGUCCAAGCAUUGGAUCAGCCAGCUAAACUCUGUUAAGCGCCCUCUUGGUUAAUGUUCAGUGUUGGAAUUGGCCAGUAGUGUCCUAUGCACAGAGCAAUGGGAUACUUGACGGGACAAAGGUGUAGGGGCGGGCAGAGUAGCCCUCUGUACCUUGUAAACUAAAGACAAGCCAACUGCUUUCUACAUUUUAUUUAGUGAAGGAAAAAAACGUCCAGGUGAGAGUUAACUACUACUUCAUCGUUGCAUCAGUCUCACUCAUGCAGUUUUGAGUUGAGACAACCAGCUUGAAGCUGUUACCUGUAGGUGGUGUCGUGAACACUGCAGUAUUAUAGAGGGCAGGGGUUUUGACACAGGUUGGCAGCAGAGGCCGAAGUAUUUUGCACUUUCCAAACCCGUGGACGAUAUGCCACCUGGCUGACUUCGACUCACCCAACCUGGGACAGUUGACCUUCAGGGCCUCCUGGACUCGGAGCAGCGUAGGAGAGAUCUGGAAGUCAGUCUGGCUCGGGUCGAAAGUGCUCUGCAGAAGCAGAGGCUCCGACUGCUCCAGAGAAUGGGCCGAGGGAGCCGGCAUGCACAACCCCAGAUACUUGUUUUGAAUCUUCGGCAGAUCAAAAGACCAGUAAAACUCCAUCCCAGACUGUUAUCAGGGAAUGUCUACAUCCCACCAUGUGGUGACCUUUACAGAAGGUAAUGAAUAACUAUGGUGCUUCUUGAUCAGUGCAGUGGAUCAUUGGGCUCCUGAGUGGCGCAGCCGGCUAAGGCACUGCAUCUGUGCUAGAGGCGUCAUUACAGACCCUAGUUUGACUCCAGGCUGUAUCACAACCGGCCGUGGUUGGGAGUCACAAAGGACGGCGCACGAUUGGCCCAGCGUCAUCCGGGUUAGGGUUUGGCCGGGGUAGGCCUUCAUUGUAAAUAAGACAUUUCUUCUUAACUUCAUGACCACUGAUCUAUGAAUGGACUGGGUAGGUUUCCAGCUCCCUAUGACACUUGCCGCAUCCCAUUAUGUUUGUGUUCCAUUUUGUAUCAGGGAUUCUAAAGGAAGGGAAUUUAGGCUAAUGACACAUCUAAAUAAAUACCUAGCUGAGUGGAUUUCCUUUCUCAUAGGGUAACUGCUAACUUGUGCCAUAGUUUGACCCAUAUUUGUUAAUUGCCUCCCCCACAGAUACUUGUUUUGAAUCUUCGGCAGAUCAAACGACCAGUAAAACUCCAUCCCAGACUGUUAUCAGGGAAUGUCUACAUCCCACCAUGUGGUGACCUUUACAGAAGGUAAUGAAUAACUAUGGUGCUUCUUGAUCAGUGCAGUGGAUCAUUGGGCUCCUGAGUGGCGCAGCCGGCUAAGGCACUGCAUCUGUGCUAGAGGCGUCAUUACAGACCCUAGUUUGACUCCAGGCUGUAUCACAACCGGCCGUGGUUGGGAGUCACAAAGGACGGCGCACGAUUGGCCCAGCGUCAUCCGGGUUAGGGUUUGGCCGGGGUAGGCCGUCAUUGUAAAUAAGACAUUUCUUCUUAACUGACUUGUCUAGUUAAAUAAUAAUAAAAACAUUUUUGGGGGGGCUUUCUCUUUUUGUAUGUUGCCCAGGACUUUUCUGUCUCAUGUCCUCAGAGUGAGCAGGUUAAAGUUGGAUUUGGAGAUCAUUAGCGCCCAACUGGACCAGGUUUUCUGUUCUGGGGGAAAGUGUCUCCCCAGGAAUGGACCAUCGGCCCAUAAGGACAGCUUGAUUCCUGUAAACCCUUCAUAAGCAUAGGAAACUAUCCUCCCAUUGGCAGAAUGAAAGCUGCCCACUAUAUGCCCACUGAAAUGAUAUCUUUCAUUUUGACCUCUGUCUGUCAAUCAGGAAAAUUGACUCGGUACCGUUCCUCUAGUGUCAGAGAGAGGACCAUAAUAUCAAUGACCUAGCUUAUUUCUCAAGCAGUGGACAAAGGUCAACAUUUGAAAGUAAAUCACUCUCUCAUCCUUUUGUUCACUAAUAACAUGACAAAACUGACACCGAUCAUGUAAACACCAUGAGAAAAUAAUCCUGGGAGGCUGACUGAUGUGUUUGGGCCCUAACCCAAGAAACUGUUGGUGUUUUCAGGAGCGAGACAAACUUGAGCAUCUGCUGGAGGAGUCUAGGGCCUAGCAGGGCCUGGUGGAGCAGGUAAGGGAUGCCUCAGAGGCCCGUAUGGAAGCCCUCCACUCCCAGCUGUAUUAGGAACGCUUCAGCCUCCAGGAGACACACAGAGAGAGAGACUGGCCACACAGGCAGAGCAACAUGGCAGCAAGCAGGUGGAGCAUUGGAAGACCAGACCAACUAAACUGGUACAGGGAUUCACACCCAAAAUGGAUUCAGGUGGUUCCUUCUACACUUCGUAUUUGUACAGAAGCAUGUAAUCUUGCCAGACGUCUCGGUAGUAUCUAACCCAGGCCUCACCUGAUAAGGCUAACAGAAAACUGAAAGGGGUUGUGAACCAGUAGAAGUCAGGUUUUACCAAUCAUCACACCAGUUGUGAGUAGCCACACAACAGUUGUCUCUAUAAUAAUGCCACAGUAAAGACAUAUGUAACAGAAGAGGACUGGCCACCCCACAUAGCCUGGUUCCUCUCUAGGUUUCUUCCUAGGUAUUGGCCUUUCUAGGGAGUUUUUCCUAGCCACCGUGCUUCUACACCUGCAUUGCUUGCUGUUUGGGGUUUUAGGCUGGGUUUCUGUACAGCACUUUGAGAUAUCAGCUGAUGUACGAAGGGCUAUAUAAAUAAAUUUGAUUUGAUUUGAUUUGAUGUAACAACACUUUGUUGGCUGAUGAUCUGCAGAUGAAUAAGUCCCUGUAAAUGGAGGUGGUGUCUCUCAGACAGAGGCUGGGGUCUGCAGAGGAGUGACCAACCUGAUGGAGAGUGACAGGCGCCUACUCGGGGUUCUCCUAGCGGCACCGGAGACUGAGCGGGAGGAGCUGCUUCAACAAGGACACCCCUCAGCCCUUGGGCAAGGAACCCCCAGCCUCUAAUAUUGGUGCACUUCGAGGGCUGAAAGAAUCAGAUGGAUAAAAUCUAUAUGGUUCUACUUAGCUCUUUUAUAGGCUGGGUAGAAUGUCCUCCGGUUUACUGCCUUACACCUAUCCAAACCUUAUGGUUGUCAUACGUGCAAAGAGAGUAUGGGUGGAUUUGGGAUGGAAUCAGUAUCUCUACCUUUAUCUUGAGGUAAUGGAGAAUUUUCUUUUCUCAUUGUUUUCACUCUUUACAUCAUCAGAGUGCUGAUAGCUCCAGAACACGGAGAAACAGUCAGACUUCUAACGGAGGAACAAAAACCAGUGGUUUGUCAGUCCAAAGUGGAAAUCUCUGGAAAGGAGGAGAGGGUGAGGGAGGAGAGUGCCGUGUAUGAAAUGGAGGAACAAGAUGAGGAGAGAGCGGAAGGGAAUAAUGUGUGUUAUUCAUCUGCAGUCAAAAUUCAGUGAGGACUUAAGAUCCAUGAGGUGACCCACUAUAGGCCUGGCCCACAGAAAGAAAUAAAGGAAGAGAACCUGGUAACUGCCUCUUUGGGAGUCCUUUCCUACAGCACCAUGUCACGUUGAAGCGGUCUAACAUGUGGCAGACUGAUGUUUCCUUUCAAACAUACCUCUCCUCCAAACUCCACUUCAGCAGUUCCCAAACUUUCAUUAACAUAUAAAAAUGUUAUAUAAUAUAACAAGCAUAUAUUUUUUUAAACCUGGGAUAUUAUUAAGCCAUGGUAUUUAUUAUACUUCCAGUACUUUAUGUUAAAAUAUCACUUUAGUAAAGUUCAUGCAACCUGAGAACCAUUUUUACGCCAAGAUGCUACUUUUUGCAGUUUACUGUGCUACAUGCUUCACCAUCCAGUAUCAUGCCAACACAUGCUGAAUAGACAAGCUAUAGACAUACCUAUGAGUUAUGUGUAUUGUGUAUUUCUGAGGAUUCACUGGCUUAGAAUACUGCUGAUAAUUCUAGAGUCUCUGCCUCUGGUCUGUGAGGGGAAUCUGGAGAGCCCAUUCUCUAACAGCCAGAUUUGAGCACAGCUAUGUAUACAUUAUAACAACCUUAUGUAACAGCAAGCUUGUUACAGCCACAGAGCCCAUGACCAAUGUCCAUUUCUUCAUGUAACACCCAAUUACACUGGUUGACACAGAGUGCCAUUGUCUUAGUCUGAGGACUCUGACAUAUUCUUGUUUAUUGUUGAGGCUGGUGAGUUUUGAUUUCUGGCUUAAGCUAAUACUAAUCCCUCUCUGAGACUAUUUUCUUUGGCCCUGAGCUUGUGGUCCACGGUGCACUGCCUUUUACUGCCCUGGUCCCCGAGAACACAUAAACAUGGAUUCGUGGGAUAUGCAGACUGGGAAGACAUGGUUGGAAUACCGCAGGGCUAGACACUUUCUCUCACCGAUAUGACACUGUCAUUAUGAAAGGACCAAUCAGAGCUGGGUGAUAAUGUCAUUAUGAAGGACUAAUCAGAGAGAAGGGUUAAGACAGAACUACGUUUAGGAUGUAAAGAAAGCACUCCUAGAUAGCAGUAUUUUUCUUUGAAAAAUAUGUAAAGACAGAUAUUUUGUAUUUAUAUUAACAUAAUAUAUGCCAUUUAGCAGUUGCUUUUAUCCAAAAUGACUUAGUCAUGCGUGCAUACAUUUUAAGUUUGGGUGGUCCUGGGAAUCAAAUCCACUAUCCUGAUGUUGCAAGCACCAUGCUCUACCAACUGAGCUACUUCAUAUUUUCCUCUGUUCUUUUCUCUUCCAAGUACACUGCUUACUCAGGAAUAGGUGUUACAUAAUGUUAUUACAUUCAUACUGACCAAUCCUGGCACUUUAUUCUUGGAGCAUACUGGACUAAUUUCCCCCUACAGUUUAGCUGAUCUUGCACUAAUUUUAUUUGUUGCAACUGAGAGGUAUGUGCCCAAAACCAUGUACUUAUGGCUGUCUGGCUGAUGCAACGUUGCAUGACUCCACACUGGCACAGACCGCACAGACAGUCCUUCUUGAUUGAGGAAGCUGGAAACUUCCUACUCACUUACUAACACUCUCACUUUAUUCUUCCAUAUUUUUCUGUUAUUCUCUCACUCUCUCUCAUUAUGAGGAAAUGGGAUGAUGACCCUGUCAUGAGAUUUUCCAUUGACGUCAUCACAGUCCAAGAUUUCCAUGUGUUCUCAGUGUAUGCUUGUCCCUGUUGCUUUUUAACAGCCCCAUGUCUGCUAAUUUCAAUGGCGAUACAAACGUCAAACUAGGUAUGUUUUCAUGUUAACGUUGCUCCACAAUCGACUCCUGAUAAGUACACUUCAGAUACUGUGUGUAAUCUGUUUUAGUGCAAUAAAGUUGCAUUUACCAGACGAUGACUGUAAUCCAAAAUGACUACUAUUCAUACAAUGUUAAUGGAACCCUAUCAUUCCAUGUACAGAACCUGCAGGAACUCUAGCGCAAAUCUUCCUUUUGAAAACCCAGGAGUUACACCAGCAGGACAGAGAGAAGAGGCUGAUAUUUGUCAAUCGCUGGAAUUCAUGGCAGCACGAGCCAAUGGUAGCCAGUCCAGUCAGUUCAUGGCAUCAUCAUAAUCCAAUUCUUAGUAUGACCUCACACCAAGUUGCCCAUAUAUCUAUAUCUAGACCUCUAUACCAGGCGGUGGUCAGACUGUUCUUUCUGCUACCGCACGGCAAGCGGUACCGGAACGCCAAGUCUAAGUCCAAGAGGCUUCUGCUUCUAC